rnacentral:rRNA from 1 species
UACGUAGGGGGCUAGCGUUGUCCGGAUUUACUGGGCGUAAAGAGCGCGCAGGCGGUCGUCCAAGUCGCGUGUGAAAGCCCCCGGCUCAACUGGGGAGGGUCACGCGAUACUGUUCGACUCGAAGGCAGGAGAGGGUAGUGGAAUUCCCGGUGUAGUGGUGAAAUGCGUAGAUAUCGGGAGGAACACCAGUGGCGAAGGCGACUACCUGGCCUGUUCUUGACGCUGAGGCGCGAAAGCUAGGGUAGCAAACGGG